AACGGAGGGCGCGAGCGAUCAUCGGAAUUACUGGGCGUAAAGCGCAUGUAGGCGGCCGAGCAAGUCAGGUGUGAAAUCCUCGGGCUUAACCUGGGAAGUGCACUUGAUACUGUCCGGCUAGAGUUUGGCAGAGGAAAGUAGAAUUCCCGGUGUAGCGGUGAAAUGCGUAGAUAUCGGGAGGAAUACCAGUGGCGAAGGCGGCUUUCUGGGCCAAUACUGACGCUGAGGUGCGAAAGCGUGGGGAGCAAACAGG
rnacentral:rRNA from 1 species